GCAGAGGGGAAUGGCAGAACCAGCCCAGGCCCCGCUGUCCCGCCUGCUUGUCCCCGUGCUGCUGGCGCUGGGCUGGAUCCUGGGCUGUGCCCUCAUGGUGUACAUUGUCUUCUCCUGACCUGGGAGGGAUGGCAGUGCCACGCAGAGCCCUGCAGGGACAGCGGUGCCACACAGAGCCCUGCGGUGAGAAGAACCUACAAUGAAGUUGUUCAGAAGAACUCAGAAGUUCAGUUUAGAUUUUUAAUUACUAAAAUACGUAUAAAAUGAGUUAUUUUUAAUAUCAGCCAUGUAAAUGUCGUGCGCACUUUUUAUCCAUUAGGAAGAAUCACCUAACCUA